AGAAACUGAAGCUACUUGUUGACACAUGCGCAUGGGCCAAUUGAUGCUGUAGCUGGCGUGCAGACGGAAAUUUCGCUUUGGUAUAUGUUAGCGGUUGCUGUUCAUUUUUUUCACGAGUAGAAAACUUGCAAUUUAUAUUUGGCGAAGGUAUUUGAAUGCCUGCUGCACAAACUGGCUGCGCUGGAGGGCAUUCCAGUGACAAGUUUUUUAUUGUAACAUUACCACCUUUGAAUGUCAAUGAACACGUCAGAAAAAAAGAAAAAAAUCAGCCACCUAACAGUAACUGUUUGCGCUUUGAAUUGCAACAAGAAGUUCGAGUUGCCUGCGCGACGACCGAGAUGUGGCAUACGGUGAAAUUACGCCAAAGUCAUGGUGGGGCCGACAUGGGUGCAGAUACACGGCGGCUGUGCUCGGACCACUUCGAGGAAACGGAAUACGCCCACCCGGCCAGAACAACGCUGUUGUUGGAGUGGAAGGGUGGAUCGAGGAAGAUACGCCUACUGCCAACACAUCGCUGAUGCUGCCCGAUACCCCGGAACUGGCAUAGCGGGACGUGUUUCCUGCAUCGACGACGAAAGCUGCGCAUCACCAGAGGGCAACGGUUCACCGCUGCUAGAUAAAGACGCUGCAAGAAAGUCGUCGUCCACAGUUCGGCAGCAGUGCACUUUGGCAUCGCACACUAAAUCUACGCCUCUUUCAGGGUUUUUCCGAGGUAGAUGCCGGCUCAGGAGGCCUGAGUGCGGCGACGGCCUCAAUGACCGGUACGCUGACAUCAACGGCAGUCGGCGGAGCAGCAGUGGUCUCCGAAGCUGGCGGAAUGUCGUCCGCCGGGGGCAGAGACUUUUCGUCUCCCGCUACAAAAACGAAGUUGGGUGAAAAUAAUUAGAGUCUGAAGAAUGCAAGAAGGAGGUUGCCUUGCUUCUUUCACACAGCAGUGAUUUCAAGGAUCUCGCGGAUGUAAGUUUGACUGUUGUGAAUCAAAGCGUCGAUGGUGCUGCUUCCAGUAGACUUGUGCGUAAGGCAGCUAUGUUGUGUACGUGAUUGUUGCUCGCAAUUACAAAAAGCAAUUUUUUGGACUACGUUACAUGUGUAAACGGUAAUCCGUUUAAGGAGAAGGCAAAACUCCGCGGCGACAUUUUCGCCAUCGUGCACAGGCUUCUUAUUGGUGUUCUUGUAAUUAGACGGCGACCCGCUGGCUGGUCGGCAAGCAGAGCCGCGACUCUCAAUUACAAAAGCGACAAGCAAAAGCAGCUGACAGCGCAGAGUAUAA